rnacentral:ncRNA from 1 species
AAUAAAGCUAUGAUAGAGAAAAGUAUUAUCUAAAAUAUAAUUCAGAGAGUAGUUGGUCGGUGAAAAACUAUUUGUAUUUGGAUAAGAAGUUCCCUCUGGAGCAGCUUGGUUGAACACUAGAUAAGUAGGCCAAGACGUGAUGUGCGUUAAACUAUUGAGUGGUUUAUAGAUAUAAUUAGGCUAAGUAUCAAAGUUCAUUUGUAGUCUUAGUCAAAGAUACUAUAGACUAUUAGGGUGGUACCGCGAUUUCAGACCUUUCGUCCCUAUG